ensembl:snRNA U6 U6 spliceosomal RNA
UUGCUUUGGCAGCACCUAGACUAAAAUUGGAAUGGUGCAGAGAAGAUUUGUAUGAACUCUGUGCAAGGA